rnacentral:rRNA from 1 species
CCAACUACGGGCAAGCAGCGGGGGGAUGACGUGGGGAUGGGGCGUUGGCCGGAUUGAUUUGGCGUAAAGGGGGCGUAGGGGGUUUGGCAAGCCGGGUGUGAAACCCUCGAGCUCAACGCGGGGCGGCCACUCGGAACUGCUAUGACUGGAGUCUGGUAGGGGAACACGGAAUACCUGGUGUAGCGGUGAAAUGCUUAGAUAUCAGGUGGAACACCAGUGGCGAAGGCGGUGUUCUGGGCCAGUACUGACGCUGAGGCGCGAAAGCGUGGGGAGCGAACAGGAUUAGAUACCCCGGUAGUC